AAAAUCUUGAAUGAUGGUUUGCUGGGUCCCUGUAUUGUAUGUGGAUAUUUGUAAUCCUGAUCUUUUGCUGAUGCUUUGUGUAGAAAGAGAACCUAGGGUUGGCCUUCCAAACUGGGGAGAGUGUGGGAAUCACAUCCAUGCUGACAGUUGAGGAGAUGCUUAGAACAGAAGGUCCAGACUGGCAGAGGGUUCUGGGAUAUGUGGAGAGCAUCUACCGCCAUUUUGAGAUGUGACUUCGCCCCUCUGUGACUCAGAAUGCCGCACCUGUCGAGGUCUCUACGGUGUACUCCGCGCAGAUUUGCUGUAUGAAUCGGUGCAGAGGCAAUGGCGCCCAUUCGUCAGUGGGGGAGCACUUUUAGAAUUUUUGUCAAGCUCAGGAGCACUACAGUAUCCAAAAUGAGUCCCACACUGCAGACUGCUGGCCUCUGGAAGCAGGUGCAUUCCUUUUUGUACUGUUACUAUUUCAUUAGCAUUAGGAUCUGUUCUCUGGUUUAAAAAAAAAAAAGUUCACAUGAACUGUGAUUUUAUCAGUUUCUCUAUAUGAAGUCUCAUCAUGUUCAGCGAAGAUUCCUUUUGACAUUUGUCAUCUGUGACUGGUUAAUGUCCAGUAUGAAAUGCAGAGCAAGUAAAAGCUCGACUUGCGUGCUCCCAAUUUUUUCUGCGAUAACAGUAUCAAGGAAGUGAACACAAGAUGAUUUGUAAGCAACUAAUUUUUAAAGCAAUGGAAAUGUUACAUUGAAAGGCUGACACUUUUGGAUGGGUAGCAUUGGCAGAUGUUAAGUCAUUAUCUGAUCCAGUUAUCAGCCUCCAAAUGGCUUGGAUUUCUUUCACUUUGAAGGGUGUCUUUUCCUUUUUUUACUUUGUUAAUGCUAUGCACCUACUUGCACUUUGAAAUAUUAAAUGGAGACUGGCCCAAAGUCUGCGAGCAUGUUGCUCCAGCUCUCCGGUUACUGGUUGAAAAUUAAGCGACUGAAUGCCAAAAUGUGAAAACUUUUACUUUAAAAUGCUUAUAUAGCAAUAAGUCUUCCUAUGUUCUGAACACAACAAGCACAAACUAAAACAGUGGAAAUGACACCCAAUGACUAGGUUGUGGGUAAGGGAACUGUCCUAUGCAGGUAUUGGGUGUCAAACUUUUGGAUGCUUUUCAGAAUAUUUUACAUGUAUGCAGAUGUUCAUUCCACCCUGCCUGUCAGUGGCUGCAUUCAUCCCAUAUACCUAGUGUAUACCUACCUACCUAAACAGUCUUAUAUUUUCUAUUUAGAUACUUCAUGAGGUUAGCAUUUUUUAUGUGAAAUUUAGUAAAUAUGUUCAUCCUGUCAGGUUUAAUUAUCAAGAAUCUGAGCAGUGGGAUUUCCAGUCUGUUUGUGCAUUGAAGGACUGAUGUGUGGAUACCCCACGCCAGAUGUGUGCGUGUGCAAGGCAAUAGUUCUACCAAAGGACUCUGAUUGUGGUGUGCAAGGCUGCCAUGGGAACCCUUGGAAAGAGCCUUGCAAUUCAAUGUGAAAAGAAAUGUCUACUGUAUAUAGUAAUAUGUAAUCCUCUGCCAUAGCCUUAUUAUAAUAAUAAAGUAUAUCAAUCUGA